GUUGAAGUAGGAAACAGCAGUGCAAAGAGAUGGGGUGUGGAUGGCAGCUGUGGCUCCUCUUGUCCCUGUGAGUUUCUCAGCUCCGUGCCCAAGCUCCCUGCUCUUGGCAGGCCGCGCGGCGUGGGUCGACUGCCAGUGUGGAGGAAUGCUGAACUGUGUGCUCACUGCCUUUUAUAUUUCCAGCCACAUCAGCCCCAGAAACAGCAGAGACAACCAUAGAAGGCAACGCUUCUCCUCGGCACUGUGUUGGGAGUAAGGAAUGUGGAGUCAUCUCUUCCCUCAGAGAAACACUGACAAGUGUUAGCUCACAGACUUGUGUGCACAAAGAUGGAUCCUUGCAGUUGUCCACUGGAGCACUGUUUGAAGCAGCAAAAGGAACCAAGUCAACUUUCCCUGCGUAUGAAAAUGGCUAAAUAAAUGGUAAUUUAUUCAUAGAAAAGAAUAUAAUACAGCUAUUAAAAUCAUGAAAAAAGGUACAUGUUACACCAUGAGUAAAUCUCAAAAACAUCAGUUUAAAAAAAAAAAAGCAAGUAAAAGCAAGUAGCAAAAGUAUCCACACAGCCUGAUGCCAUUUACGUAGACCUUAAAGAUC
rnacentral:lncRNA from 1 species